CGAGGAUAUACCGCGGUAUUUGCAAUAUCGAGUCUUUUUAUCCGUGCUGGUGGCUUUCAUUAAGUGGAAUAGUGCAGCACAUGCUGGUGAACUGACUGAAUUCUAAAAACGAAAGACGAAACUGUACGCGGCUGUUGAUUUUAUUUUUGUGGAAGUAGCCAAUUUUUGCGUGAAGGUAGGCAGGGUCUUGGCACCACCAAGGAACCCAAAUUGGGGGGCGAAAAUGAGUCCUGAAAUCAUUAAAUCCUUGUGGUGCAAUAGCUUUUGAAUUUGGCUAAAUAGCUAUUUUAGCCUUAUAUUUAGUCUAUUUUGGGGGGUAGAUAACUAUUUAUUUAAUAGAGGUUUAGAUGAUUAAGUCUGUCAAGAUAUGGACUGGACUGGAAUCCCGGCGAACUUCAAAGCUACAAAAUAGAAGGCCUCUUUUUGAUGUUAACUGUAUCUCGCCG